GCAGUGGUAGCUCAGUGGUAGAGCACUUACCUUGCACUUGUGAGGCACUGGGUUCUGUCCUCUGCA
rnacentral:tRNA from 1 species